GAGAAAAUCAACAUCGAAACAGUUAACAAUAUCGAGAUAAUUUCUGUUUCUGCUUCUUCUUCUUCAUCUGCUGCUACACCGGCACCAGCUAGCUCAAGUAGCAGGUACGAAAAUCAGAAGCGGCGGGAUUGGAACACGUUCGGUCAGUACCUGAGAAACCACAGGCCUCCACUCACGCUCUCUAGAUGCAGUGGUGCUCACGUACUUGAAUUCCUUCGUUACCUUGAUCAAUUCGGCAAGACCAAAGUUCAUACUCCGAUGUGUCCGUUUUAUGGGCAUCCGAAUCCGCCCGCACCGUGUCCGUGUCCGCUAAAGCAAGCUUGGGGGAGCCUUGACGCACUGGUAGGACGACUUAGAGCGGCUUAUGAAGAAAAUGGAGGGAAGCCGGAAACGAACCCAUUUGGUGCUCGAGCUGUUAGGCUUUAUCUUCGUGAGGUUCGUGAUUUGCAGUCCAAA
rnacentral:misc_RNA from 1 species